CUUGUUUAGCUUUUGUUUGACAGGUAAAGAUACCAUGGUUGAAAAAGGGUGUGUGUGUUUCAUUUGUUGGCGGAAGUUCUGGAACGGCACUGUAACACUAAUACUGUGUGAGGCAUUGUACAGUGCUACAACGGCAUUGUAAUACUGUGUGAGCUAUCCAAGUGCUUAUCUUUGUGCAACUUUCUCCGCAACAAGCGGACUACAUCACGCAAGGUUUGACGUCUUGAUGCAUACUCUGAUGGUGAUGAUGGUGAUGAUGAUGGUGAUGAUAAUAUCCACCAGCAGACGGAUGGAAAGAGGGAGUAGGUGAAUAUGCCAGGAUGCUGCCCCGUGGACGGCGAAUUGCUCGAGACUGUAGUCGGCUGUUUUAGGUAUGGAGAAUUUGAAGAAGAAGCCCAUAGUGCUGUUCCCUCUGAAUAGGGCGAGUGACCCUCAAG